rnacentral:rRNA from 1 species
UACGGAGGGUGCUAGCGUUGUUCGGAAUUACUGGGCGUAAAGGGCGCGUAGGCGGCCGUUUGCGUCGGAUGUGAAAUCCCUCGGCUUAACCAAGGAAGUGCAUCCGAAACUGCAGAGCUUGAGUACUUAAGAGGAUCGCGGAAUUCCCGGUGUAGAGGUGAAAUUCGUAGAUAUCGGGAGGAACACCGGUGGCGAAGGCGGCGAUCUGGGAAGAUACUGACGCUGAGGUGCGAAAGCGUGGGGAGCAACAGG